CGGGCAGGGGGCUGCGGCUGCCGGGCCCGGCAGGCCAGAGGCCGCCCAAGGGGUGGUUGUGGUGACCCCGGGGGGGGGGGGGCAGGGCCACUACUGCCCCGGCAAGGUGAGGCCUGUGCUCAGGGCCUCUGCACUGCCGCUGGAGAAGGCAGAGGGGAGAGAAAAGGUGGCAAAAGGUGAUGGCUGGUGGUAAGGAUGCCCAGGCAGGCAGUGGUGCAGAAGUACUUGCAGUCGGAGAAUGCGGGAGUCAGUCACUGAAACACCACCAUAAAGUGAAGUUUUCCUCCCUAGCAGCUCAAAUGGCAUGUUUGCUGAGUGAAAAUGAGUGAGGCUAUCCAGCCUCCCUGCUGAAUCCUACAUUUGACAAGUCUCUGCUUGUGCCUUUCUUCUGAUUGGGAGACUGGAAGAAUGGACCGCUUUACUUCAGGGGAGCCUCAGGGCCAUUUGAGAAGUCACAGCAGAGCAGUGCUGAUGGACAGGAUUGCUGCUUUUGCCUUGCUCACUGCAGCCCCCAUUUCCCAGUAAGGAAUUGCCGAGUUGCUGUUUCUCAGGACAGAGAGUAAAAAUGGAGUCCUGGAGCCCUCUGGUGGAUGCGUAUAGAAAGAAGUCAGCUGAACAUGCGAGUCAUUAAACUCUGGAAACGCAUUGCCAUAUUCACCAGUAUACAUAUACACCAGUACAUAUACUUAAUUUUAAAUCCAAAAGGGGUUUCUUUCUGUUCCUCCUGAGAAAACUUAUCUUGCAAUUUCAGAGUCUUACAAAUAAAUGAAUCUGUAUCUUGA